GACGUAGGGCGCGAGCGUUGUCCGGAUUUAUUGGGCGUAAAGAGCUCGUAGGCGGUGUGUCACGUCGGCCGUGAAAACCUGCAGCUUAACUGUGGGCGUGCGGUCGAUACGGGCAUCACUGGAGUUCGGCAGGGGAGACUGGAAUUCCUGGUGUAGCGGUGAAAUGCGCAGAUAUCGGGAGGAACACCAGAGGCGAAGGCGGGUUACUGGGCUGAUACUGACGCUGAUGCGCGAAAGCCAGGGGAGCAAACGGG
rnacentral:rRNA from 1 species